GAACCAGACAGCCGCGGCAGGGGUACCUGACGAGGAAAGUCCGAGCAUCACAGGGCAAGGGUGCCGGUUAACUGCCGGUGAAGGCGACUUCAAAGAUAGUGCAACAGAAAUAAACCGCCGGAGUUUUCUCCGGUAAGGAUGGAAAGGCGGCGUAAGAGACCACCGCUCUCCCGGCGACGGGAGGGGCUCUGUAAACCUCACCCGAUGCAAGGCCAGCGGAGACGCGAUAACGCCCUUAAAGUCUCCCGAAACCGCUUGAGCGGCUUGGAAACAUGCCGCCUAGACAGAUGGCUGUCAAAUACAGAACUCGGCUUAUAGAUUCACUUUU
rnacentral:RNase_P_RNA from 1 species